rnacentral:rRNA from 1 species
UAGGGAAUCUUCCACAAUAGGCGAAAGCCUGAUGGAGCAACGCCGCGUGUGUGAUGAAGGGUUUCCGCUCGUAAAACACUGUUGUAAGAGAAGAAUGACAUUGAGAGUAACUGUUCAAUGUGUGACGGUAUCUUACCAGAAAGGAACGGCUAAAUACGUGCCAU